rnacentral:rRNA from 1 species
CACGUAGGGGGCGAGCGUUGUUCGGAAUUACUGGGCGUAAAGGGCAUGUAGGCGGCUCUGUAAGUCCGGCGUGGAAGCCCACGGCCUAACCGUGGGAUUGCGCUGGAAACUGUGGGGCUUGAGUCACGGAGAGGGAGCUAGAAUUCCAGGUGUAGGGGUGAAAUCUGUAGAGAUCUGGAAGAAUACCAGUGGCGAAGGCGAGCUCCUGGCCGAUGACUGACGCUGAGGUGCGAAAGUGUGGGGAU